rnacentral:rRNA from 1 species
CCCGUCACACCAUGGGAGUCGAUUGCUCCAGAAGUGCCUGGGCCAACCGCAAGGGCCAAGCGGCCGAAGGCGAGCAUCAUGACUGGGGCG